AACGAACGCUGGCGGCAUGCCUAACACAUGCAAGUCGAACGAGACCUUCGGGUCUAGUGGCGCACGGGUGCGUAACGCGUGGGAACCUGCCCUUAGGUUCGGAAUAACUCCCCGACAGGGGUGCUAAUACCGGAUAAUGUCUUCGGACCAAAGAUUUAUCGCCUUUGGAUGGGCCCGCGUUGGAUUAGCUAGUUGGUAAGGUAAAAGCCUACCAAGGCGACGAUCCAUAGCUGGUCUGAGAGGAUGAUCAGCCACACUGGGACUGAGACACGGCCCAGACUCCUACGGGAGGCAGCAGUGGGGAAUAUUGGACAAUGGGCGAAAGCCUGAUCCAGCAAUGCCGCGUGAGUGAUGAAGGCCUUAGGGUUGUAAAGCUCUUUUACCCGGGAUGAUAAUGACAGUACCGGGAGAAUAAGCUCCGGCUAACUCCGUG
rnacentral:rRNA from 1 species